CAAUAGCGUAUAUUAAAGUUGUUGCAGUUAAAACGCUCGUAGUCGGAUUUCGGGGCUUGAUGACCGGUCUGCCGUAGGGUAUGCACUGGCCAUUGGGUCCUUCCUUCCGGAGACCUUAUCUACUCUUAACUGAGCGGGUAAGGGAGACGGAUCGUUUACUUUGAAAAAUCAGAGUGUUUCAAGCAGGCAACUCGCUUUUGCAUGGAUUAGCAUGGGAUAAUAAAAUAGGACUUUGGUGCUAUUUUGUUGGUUUCGAACACCGAAGUAAUGAUUAAAAGGGACGGUCAGGGGCACUCGUAUUCCGUCGAGAGAGGUGAAAUUCUCAGACCAACGGAAGACGAACCACUGCGAAAGCAUUUGCCAGGGAUGUUUUCACUGAUCAAGAACGAAAGUUAGGGGAUCGAAGAUGAUCAGAUAUCAU
rnacentral:rRNA from 1 species